GUAAAGUCUGAGAGAAAAAAAAAAUAGAAUGUAAAAAGAUUUCCAUAAACAUCCAUGUCAUGGGGAAUCAUAAAGACAGAUCUUAACUUUUCAAAACACACCAGAAGCUCAGCAGUAGACAUUAGGAUUGUCUUGGUUUUUAAUGACUCAGUAUUAGUAAUGCCACUUACACCUAUUCAUUCCUUCACCUCAAGGGAAUGCAACCAACAUACAGAUUAUGCCAUAUUUGGAAUUUCUGGUCUGUAUCCUAUGUCAGUUAAAAACCUGUUGCUGGCAACAGUAACAGCACUACAGAAAGAUCAUCAGGUGCUUCUAAUGGAAGAAUGUUACAACUUGGAAAAUGUGAAAAUGCAGGAGCCAAAGAAUCACACAAAAACUUUUCGGCUGAGGCCUGAUAUGGAAAUGAAAACUGGAUACUUCAUCCAAAUUUAGCUGCUAACCGGAAGCACUUGAAAUUGUGUAGAAGCCGGCUAUGGUGAGAUGGAACAUUGCACAGAAAAAAAAAAAAAGACAGAAAUAUUAAUGUAAAGAUGUUUUUAUAGUUGUACCCAUUUAAACAAAAAUAAGAGUAUGUUCCUCAAUAGAAUAAAAUAGUUCAUCUCUUACUCAGAUAAGACUGUUUCACUUCUCAGUCAUAAUGGAUGAAGAUAUUGAAAGAAGCCAAGAAAAUGAAGAGACUUGGACACUCAACUGGGAAGGAAAUUUAGAACUCAAAUCAGUUCCACAAAUAUUUCUGAGCUAUGUAAUGUACUAAAUAGGUUUGGUAUUGACUUGAAGAAACUGUUCAUGCAUUUUUGAAAAGGCAAUAAAAUAUGUAACAUCAUGCAAUGCAUAUGCCAGUAAAGCACUAAAGGUA